CCUACGGGUGGCAGCAGUGAGGAAUAUUGGUCAAUGGGCGCGAGCCUGAACCAGCCAAGUAGCGUGAAGGAUGACUGCCCUACGGGUUGUAAACUUCUUUUAUAAAGGAAUAAAGUGAGGCACGUGUGCCUUUUUGUAUGUACUUUAUGAAUAAGGAACGGCUAACUCCGUUCCAGCAGCCGCGGUAAUACGGCGGAUCCGAGCGUUGUCCGGGUUUCUUGGGUUUAAAGGGAGCGUAGAUGGGUUGGUAAGUCAGUUGUGAAAGUUUGGGGCUCAACCGGAAAAUUGCAAUUGUUACUGGCAGUCUUGAGUACAGUUGAGGUAGGCGGAAUUCGUGGUGUAGCGGUGAAAUGCUUAGAUAUCACGAAGAACUCCGAUUGCGAAGGCAGCUUACUAAACUGCCACUGACAUUGAUGCUCGAAAGUGUGGGUAUCAAACAGGAUUAGAUACCCGAGUAGUC
rnacentral:rRNA from 1 species